rnacentral:rRNA from 1 species
GUGGUGCAUGGUUGUCGUCAGCUCGUGUCGUGAGAUGUUGGGUUAAGUCCCGCAACGCGCGCAACCCUUGUCUUUAGUUGCCAUCAUUAAGUUGGGCACUCUAGAGAGACUGCCAGGGAUAACCUGGCGGAAGGUGGGGAUGACGUCAAAUAAUCAUCCCCCUUAUGCUUAGGGCUACACACGUGCUACAAUGGGUAGGCCAGAGGGUUGCCAAGCCGUAAGGCGGAGGUAAUCCCUUAAAGCUACUCCCAGUUCGGAUUGUAGGCUGAAUCUCGCCUAAAUGAAGCUGGAGUUACUAGUAAUCGCAGAUCAGAAUGC